AUUGAACGCUGGCGGCAGGCCUAACACAUGCAAGUCGAGCGAGCGGCGGACGGGUGAGUAAUGUCUGGGAAACUGCCUGAUGGGGGGGGAUAACUACUGGAAACGGUAGCUAAUACCGCAUACUAUCAGAUGUGCCCAGAUGGGAUGGGCUAGUAGGUGGGGUAAUGGGUAUCCAGGGCGACGAUCCCUAGCUGGUCUGAGAGGAUGACCAGCCACACUGGAAUGGAGACACGGUCCGGACCCCUACGGUAGGCAGAGGGGGGGAUUAUUGGACAUUGGGCGCAAGCCUGACGCAGCCAUGCCGGGGGGGUGAAGAAGGCCUUCGGGUUGUAAAGCACGUUCAGCGGGGAGGCGUUACCCACAGAGGAAGGACCGGCUAACUCCGUGCCAGCAGCCGCGGUAAUUC
rnacentral:rRNA from 1 species